AGAUGUGAAGGUGAUCUUGUUGCAACAUCUCAUUGCCAGGGUUGAUUCAGCUGAUCUGGCUGGCAAGGCAGGUGUCCCAUUCCUCCCUUAAUGUUCCAGUGUGUCUUUCCUGAAGCUACACACUGGAAGAGGAGACCUUUCCCUAAAAACUGACCAGUCUUUGGUAGAGGGCAUAUGUAACUAUACUCCCUGCUAGGACCUCUCCAAAGGAAAAAUAAAGAGAAAGGAAAAAAAGGGAGAUCAAGAAUAGACAGUUAUGCAAAUCUACCAUCCACU
rnacentral:snRNA from 1 species